UGGCUACGGUUUGGUGUGAGAAAAGAGAUGGGUGUUUCACUCCCUGCUGCAUCCCUGGUGACGGCCCUGGCAUUUCGGGGCAUGAGAUCUUUGCUUAAAGGUUUUGCGGUGGUCACUGCACAGGGGGUGGGGGUGGGGUCCCUUGGUGCAAUUUAUCCGAUUCUGCUGCGUGGAUGACAUCCACAGUGUUCCUCUCCAGUGGGGAUUAUCUGAGACCUUUCCGCAUGCCCGCACCCACAGUCCGCUCCCUCACGGCAGCAUGAACUCAGGAGGCGGGCGUUCCCACAGUCAUUACAUUUGCAGGGCCUCUCUAUGUCCACUCUGAUGCCUGAGGACCAGCGCUUCCACGAAGGUGUGGCCACGUCCAGUGCUGCUCAUUGGCUUCUCUCCUGCGGGAAUGUUCUGAUCCCGAACGGAGCCUGAGCAUGCGCGAAACCCUUCCCACGUUCACAAGGUGCUUCUCCAGUGUUCCAUUACAUCUCACCUAUGCACACUACAUGCAUACGGUUUCCACCGGCUGUGCGUGUCCCUAGAAGUCACAUUCACGGCGUUUCUCCCUGGGAGGAAUUCUCCCGUGCAUGGCUGCUCUGAGACCAUUUGCACCUGCGGCCACGCGUGGGCUCCUCGAGGCUUACAAACCAGGCUGGACUCCUGAAGCCCUAGCUGCACUUGGCACUCGGCGAGGUUUUUCUACAAAAUCUCAUCUCAGCCAUCUGAGUCCUUCACCAUUUAUCUUAUGAAUCCGCUCGAACGUACAAGGAAGGCCUCUCUGCCCUCCUGCUCCAGGGAGGAGGUUUUGACCCUCAGCUCCACCUCUGCGGCUGGCCCGGUCUCCGCAAACCUUUUUCUGCUUGGCCAGCUGGUGCCAUGCUAGGCUUUCCCACUAGGGGCGCCAGAGAAAGCGCGCGAGGCUGCGGAGGAGAGAGGGGCACACUCUUUCCGGUUUGCUUCCGGUUUUUUCCUCAGGCUUCCGGUCUGUUUGGUGCCCUGGUCGCGUGUCUUCCGAACUCUGCUGCUUCGCCCCGGCAAGAGCACUUCCUUCCGCGGCUGCUAAAACUGGUGCGCGGGUUCCCAACUUCGCAGAAGAGCUUCAUCGGCCCCCCGCUAGAGACCUCAGACCGCAGCCAUCGACGCCUCGCCUCGGGGAUCUGUCCCCACCCUCGGGGCCAGCUCACCAUGAGUCAGGCCCUGUGCUAGGUGCUGGGAUGAAGCAGUGACUGACACAGGCCUGGACCUGUCCUUGGGAAGAGUGCGUCUGUGACACAGAUACUGUGCCAUGUGGCAAAGUAAGCGCGUGGGACAGCAGAGCCUUGUUUGCCAUUAAAGUAAUAUCACAAGUCUGUUAAGGUUGGAGAAUCAAGUGAACAUGCUGAAAAGUUAUGGGGAAUGUAGUCUCAUAGCUGGGGGAGCUGGGGGCCUUGUCAAUUGGUUCCCCCAGUCUGGAGAGCAAUCUGAGAGUAAGUAGUGACACUGUGUGUGCUGAGUGUGUCUGUGGGGGUGUUUUUGGAUAAAAUUAACAUUUGAAUUUGUGAACUGAGUGAAGCAGAGUGCCCUUCAUAAUGUGGGUGGGCCUCAUUCAAUUAGUUCAAGGCCCGCAUAGGAACCACCUCCUGCCUGACUGAACCGGGACCUACGUCUUUUCUUGCCUUCAGACUUGAAUGGAGACAUCAGCUCUUUGUGGGUCUCAAGUCUACUGGCUUUCAAUCAGCUCUUCUGCUUGACAGCUGCAGGUCUUGGGACUGCCCAGCCCCCAUAACCCUGUGAGUGCAUUCCUGAUAAUAACCCUCUUUCUCUUGUCCUCCCCCACCCCACAUCAUUGGUUCUGUUUCUCUGGAGAACCAUAAUACAUCAUUUACUAAUCAGGAAAUAGAUUCAGAGACAUUAAUAACUCAUCCAACCUCACAGUUAACUGUAGAGUUGGGCUUGAAAUUCCAAGGUCGAUUUUCUUAGCCAAUACACCAUGCUACAUAUAUGUAUGUAAAAAUAAAAACGCUUGUGAACUGAAAAGGGUCCAAACUUAAGCUCAUUUUGGUCCUUAAUUGCUAAUCCAUAGGCAUGUUUUGGUCCUUAAUUGCUAAUCCAUAAGCAUGUUUCGGUCCUUAUUUGCUAAUCCAUAGGCCUGCACACCU
rnacentral:lncRNA from 1 species